UGGGGAAUUUUGGACAAUGGGCGAAAGCCUGAUCCAGCAAUGCCGCGUGUGUGAAGAAGGCCUUCGGGUUGUAAAGCACUUUUGUCCGGAAAGAAAUCCUUGGCUCUAAUACAGUCGGGGGAUGACGGUACCGGAAGAAUAAGCACCGGCUAACUGCGUGCCAGCAGCCGCGGUAAUACGUAGGGUGCAAGCGUUAAUCGGAAUUACUGGGCGUAAAGCGUGCGCAGGCGGUUUGCUAAGACCGAUGUGAAAUCCCCGGGCUCAACCUGGGAACUGCAUUGGUGACUGGCAGGCUAGAGUAUGGCAGAGGGGGGUAGAAUUCCACGUGUAGCAGUGAAAUGCGUAGAGAUGUGAGGAAUACCGAUGGCGAAGGCAGCCCCCUGGGCCAAUACUGACGCUCAUGCACGAAAGCGUGGGGAGCAAACAGGAUUAGAUACCCUGGUAGUCCACGCCCUAAACGAUGUCAACUAGUUGUUGGGGAUUCAUUUCCUUAGUAACGUAGCUAACGCGUGAAGUUGAUCGCCUGGGGAGUACGGUCGCAAGAUUAAAACUCAAAGGAAUUGACGGGGUCAUAGCUGUUUCCU
rnacentral:rRNA from 1 species